rnacentral:rRNA from 1 species
GACGUAGGGGCAAGCGUUGUCCGGAAUCAUUGGGCGUAAAGCGCUCGUAGGUGGAUCGGUAAGUCUGCAAAGAAAGACCCGGGCUCAACUCGGGGAACGGUGUGGAUACUACCGAUCUUGAGGCAAUCAGAGGAUGAUGGAAUUCCCGGGUGUAGCGGUUGAAAUGCGUAGAUAAUCGGGAGGAACACCAGUGGCGAAGGCGAAUCAUCCUGGGGUUGUUCUGACACUGAGGAGCGAAAGCUAGGGAGCAAACGGGAUUA